rnacentral:rRNA from 1 species
CUAACAAGGAUUCCCCUAGUAACGGCGAGUGAAGAGGGAAGAGCUCAAAUUUUAAAUCUGCCUUGUUCCAAGGCCGAGUUGUAAUUUGAAGAAGCGUUUUCUUGGGCUCGCGGCCGGUAGAAGUUCUUUGGAACAGGACAUCAUAGAGGGUGACAAUCCCGUCCGUGACCGGUCGUGCGUUCAUCUACGAUACGCUUUCAAAGAGUCGAGUUGUUUGGGAUUGCAGCUCCAAAUGGGUGGUAAACAUCACCUAAGGCUAAAUAUUGGCGAGAGACCGAUAGCGAACAAGUACCGUGAGGGAAAGAUGAAAAGAACUUUGAAAAGAGAGUUAAACAGUACGUGAAAUUGUUGAAAGGGAAACGAUUGAAGUCAGUCGUGCUGGCGCGAAGUCAACCAUCCUCGUCUUGAGGUCACAUGGCGCGGCGAGCCUCAAAACCGUCACGAAGCGUGAACUCUUGACGAAAAGGUGCACUUUCGUGUCCGCUGGUUAACAUCAAUUUCGAUCGUCAUAAAAAGGCUGGAGGGAUGUGGCUCCUUCGGGAGUGUUAUAACCUUUAGCGGAAUGUGGUGAUCGGGAUUGAGGAUUGCAACGAAUACCUUCAGGGCUGUUCCACCUGGCUUCUCAUUGGUAUCCUGGUGACGACAGCUUGCUGACUUUGUUAGGAUUCGCCUCUGAACGGGCUAGAGUGUGAGCAAAUUCGUUAAGGAUGU